rnacentral:rRNA from 1 species
CUGCGUACGGCUCAUUACACCAGCCUUAAUUUACUUGACCUUGACAACCUACUUGGAUAACUGUGGUAAUUCUAGAGCUAAUACAUGCACCAAAGCUCCGAUCCUCGCGGAGAGGAGCGCAUUUGUUCGCCACAAAACCAAGCGCCCAUCUGGGCGUCCAGUGCUGAACCAGAACAACUCAGCUGAUCGCACGGUCUUGUACCGGCGACGUGUCUUUCAAGUGUCUGCCUUAUCAACUUUCGAUGGUAGUGUACCUGACUACCAUGGUUGUGACGGGUAACGGAGGAUAAGGGUUCGACUCCGGAGAAGGGGCCUGAGAAAUGGCCACUACGUCUAAGGAUGGCAGCAGGCGCGCAAAUUACCCACUCUCAACGCGAGGAGGUACUGACGAGAAAUAACGAGACCGUUCUCAUACGAGGCCGGUUAUUGGAAUGGGUACAAUUUAAA